rnacentral:rRNA from 1 species
GAUGAACGCUGGCGGCGUGCCUAAUACAUGCCAGUCGAGCGAACAGACGAGAAGCUUGCUUCUCUGAUGUUAUCGGCGGACGGGUGAGUAACACGUGGAUAACCUACCUAUAAGACUGGGAUAACUUCGGGAAACCGGAGCUAAUACCGGAUAAUAUUUUGAACCGCAUGGUUCAAUAGUGAAAGACGGUCUUGCUGUCACUUAUAGAUGGAUCCGCGCUGCAUUAGCUAGUUGGUAAGGUAACGGCUUACCAAGGCAACGAUGCAUAGCCGACCUGAGAGGGUGAUCGGCCACACUGGAACUGAGACACGGUCCAGACUCCUACGGGAGGCAGCAGUAGGGAAUCUUCCGCAAUGGGCGAAAGCCUGACGGAGCAACGCCGCGUGAGUGAUGAAGGUCUUCGGAUCGUAAAACUCUGUUAUUAGGGAAGAACAUAUGUGUAAGUAACUAUGCACAUCUUGACGGUACCUAAUCAGAAAGCCACGGCUAACUACGUG